rnacentral:rRNA from 1 species
UACGUAGGGUGCAAGCGUUGUCCGGAAUUAUUGGGCGUAAAGAGCUCGUAGGCGGUUCAGUAAGUCAGAUGUGAAAACUCAGGGCUCAACCCGGAGACGCCAUCUGAUACUGCUGUGACUUGAGUCUGGUAGGGGAUCACGGAAUUCCUGGUGUAGCGGUGAAAUGCGCAGAUAUCAGGAGGAACACCUGUGGUGUAGACGGCUUUCUGGACCAUAGCUGACGCUGAGACACGAAAGCGUGGGUAGCAAACAGG